rnacentral:rRNA from 1 species
CCAUGAAGCUGGAUUCGCUAGUAAUCGCGCAUCAGCCACGGCGCGGUGAGUACGUUCCCGGGCCUUGUACACACCGCCCGUCAAGCCAUGGAAGCCGGGGGUGCCUGAAGUGCGCUGCCGCAAGGAGCGCCCUAGGGUAAAACCGGUGACUGGGGCUAAGUCGUAACAAGGUAAC